rnacentral:lncRNA from 1 species
CUCCCUGGGGCCGGCCCCAUAAAGGGUUUCUGUUCGGGCUGGAGGACUCAUUGUCGAAAAAUUGUCCCUCAAAAAAUUAGCAUGGUACAGUGGAGAAAGCAGAACGCCCGGCAAAUGACAGCUGCUGGCCCCAGACAGGGCCAGAGAGAGGAGUUUUACAAGGUGCCACCUCAGAAAGGCACCUGUCAAUCCAAGCCUGCAGUGGCCAGAGGGGUGGCAGGGCAAGGGCAGGUUGUGUCAAGUUGACACGAAAGACCAGCCAACAUACAACAUAUAUCCACAUGGCCUUUGGUGUUAACAUGGAGCACAGACCUCAACAUGGCCUCUGACAAGAGCACAGACAGAGCACGGAUAUCCACACUGGCUCUAGUUGCAGCACAGACUGUGGACAUCAACAUAGCCCCCAGCAGCUGCAGACAGUAAGUUGGCCUCAGGCAAUAGCACAGGCCACACACAUCAACGUGGUUUCCAGCAGGAAUGAGGACCACAGACUCUAAUAUGGCUCUCAGCAGCAGCAUGGAUUAUGGUCAUCAACCUGGCCUACAGUGAGAACACAGACCAUGGAUGCCCUCAAAGCCUCCUGCCACAGCUUGGACGUUGGACACUAACAUGACCCUCAGGAGCAACACAGGCCACAGGAUGUCCAGGGUUUUGUUUUGUUUUUAGUUCUUUAUAUAUUUUAGUCAUCAACCUUCUAUCAAUUGUAUGAUUGAAAUAAGUCUUUUCCCAUUCUGUAGGCUGUGGAUUUGUCCUAAUGGUGGUAUUCUUUGCCUUACA